rnacentral:rRNA from 1 species
AACGAACGCUGGCGGCAUGCCUAACACAUGCAAGUCGAACGAGACCUUCGGGUCUAGUGGCGCACGGGUGCGUAACGCGUGGGAACCUGCCUUUAGGUUCGGAAUAACUCUGAGAAAUUUGAGCUAAUACCGGAUGAUGUCUUCGGACCAAAGAUUUAUCGCCUUUAGAUGGGCCCGCGUUGGAUUAGCUAGUUGGUGGGGUAAAGGCCUACCAAGGCGACGAUCCAUAGCUGGUCUGAGAGGAUGAUCAGCCACACUGGGACUGAGACACGGCCCAGACUCCUACGGGAGGCAGCAGUGGGGAAUAUUGGACAAUGGGCGAAAGCCUGAUCCAGCAAUGCCGCGUGAGUGAUGAAGGCCUUAGGGUUGUAAAGCUCUUUUACCCGAGAUGAUAAUGACAGUAUCGGGAGAAUAAGCUCCGGCUAACUCCGUG